UUAAAUGUAAUGACAAGGACGCUUUGGGCUAAGCUUUAACAGAGAGAUAAUCGUUUGGUGAAAGAUUAUUAAAAGCUCCCUCAAAGAGAUCACCUUUGAAUAGGAUUUCUGAAAUGGUCACAAUAGGAAAUCACGGGGAAUCGUUAAAUUCAUAAGAGUGGGCAAUUUUUGCCAACUUGGGUGGUACCGCGAUUUUUCGUCCCUUGG
rnacentral:ncRNA from 1 species